UACAGAGGUCCCAAGCGUUUGUUCGGAUUCACUGGGCGUAAAGGGUGCGUAGGUGGUGAGGUAAGUCGGAUGUGAAAUCUCCGAGCUCAACUCGGAAACUGCAUUGGAAACUACCUUGCUCGAGGGUUGGAGGGGGGACUGGAAUGCUUGGUGUAGCAGUGAAAUGCGUAGAUAUCAAGCGGAACACCAGUGGCGAAGGCGAGUCCCUGGACAACUCCUGACACUGAUGCACGAAAGCUAGGGGAGCAAACAGG
rnacentral:rRNA from 1 species